rnacentral:rRNA from 1 species
CGGAGGAUUCUAGCGUUGUCCGGAUUUAUUGGGUUUAAAGGGUGCGUAGGCGGAUGUCUAAGUCAGGGGUGAAAGCCGGCAGCUUAACUGUCGAAAUGCCUUUGAAACUGGACAUCUUGAAUAUAGUUGAGGUAGGCGGAAUGUGACAUGUAGCGGUGAAAUGCUUAGAUAUGUUACAGAACACCGAUUGCGAAGGCAGCUUACUAAGCUAUUAUUGACGCUGAGGCACGAAAGCGUGGGGAUCAAACAGGAUUAGAUACCCUGGUAGUCCACGCCCUAAACGUUGCAUACUCGUUGUUGGCGAUAUACAGUCAGCGACUAAGCGAAAGCGUUAAGUAUGCCACCUGGGGAGUACGACCGCAAGGUUG